CAUCAAUUGUAAUUAAAACAGACUUGGAAAAGAAGGUCUUGCAAUGCAUACCAAAUGGUGAACCUCAACAUUAUACAUUUUAUCCAUGGAUACACCAGACAGAAUUUGGAGAGAUUAUCCGUUAUCUGAAAAGCACAGAAACGAUCAACUUGCAAGUAAACGAUGCCACAUUGAAUGUGUACCAAUACAAUGGGAUAUAUGUCUGUAGAGCAGCGAAUGGUGUGUCAUAUGAAAAUGCUACGGAAAUUCAGUCAGGACAAGUGUUCGUGAGGCAAAAUGACAAACCAGUGUUUGUGGAACAAAACGAACAUAUACAGUAUGGAAGAACUGGUACGGAAAUUGAUAUAAGAGUCUUCGUGUAUUGUUAUCCAAAGUUCAACAACUUGAGUGUUAAAACUCGUGGAAUUUUUUCAGUUGAACACAACUAUAUAGCCAUUGAAAAUGCAGUUGUUACUGACAAAAUCUAUUCAAAAGAUUUUCGAAUGAACGGAUUCAAAAUAACACUUCUAGGAUUUAUUAUUGAAGCAAACGACUUCACUUCAUACACAUUUUGGAUAGAAAACUCUCUUGGUAAUGCUAACUUUACUGUCGACCUUAUAGAUGCUGAAAAACAAUCUGCUCAAUCGUUAAACAUUUCCUGGCAAAUAUCUGGUAGCUCCAUAGGAGGACUUCUUUUUGGAAUUGCUUGCACCAUUUUCUUGGGUUUGUGUCGUGAGCGAAGGAGGACGAAUGCUAGACAGCAAGUCCAUCAAGAGGUACACUAUGAUGAAAUAGAGCUAGUAGACAACAAUGUUAGUUCUCCAACACAACCCACUACCCAUCCAGUUGAUGCAGAUUCUGUGAUAGUUCAAGAACCAGAAUCAGAAAACAGUGGCUUUGAGAUUUCAAGUGAAGCUAAUAGCAGCGACGACAUGUCAAGCAGAAAUAUAUAUGUUGCAAGUGAACAACAAGACUACGAAAAUUCCUAUCAACUUUUAGAUUUAGACAACUCUGAAAAACAUAUGUAUGACGAAACACAGGUGUGCAGUAUCAACAUUUUGUCUGCUGAAAAUACCUAUGUAAAUACUGUUCUGUAAAACCACUUUGCACACAAUUGGCAUUUGUUUAAAUGACAAGCAAAUCUUCCUUUGUUUAAAUACUGGUAAUCACGGCAUUUCUGCUCAUGAUACACUGGAAAAGGUACAGAAUUUUUGCUUUAAGCAACGUUAUAUCAAAUGAAACUAAGACAACCGUGCCUUUCAACGACAUAGCGAUUUGAAUUGUGUACAGAUGUUAAAUGUGUACAUUAAGUUGGGCAAAUGCCUUGAAGGAAUAUAAGCUUACACACAACUUCAAUAACAAUAUGAUUUGCCCAUUUUCUUUAGUUGCAUCGAAUGUAGAUAAAUUAAUUUUCACUAAGUUUACAAAAUGAAUGUCAAAAUGAAAACCAUAUACUGUAUUACGGAAAACAUAGUGUGGUGCACCGGUACCUUACAUGACGUAGUAAUCUGAUUGUAAAUGAUAGUUACAAGUAUAAUAAAAUGAAGUGAUACGGCCAUGGAACCAAACGUAUGACCCUGUAUCUUUACUGCAUGUUUCCUCCUCAAUUUUUAUGCCUAAAAUGUAGUCCCUGCAAUAGAUACUGUAUAUACAGAAAUUAUUGCGAGGUUUUUAU